CCUACGGGGGGCUGCAGUCGAGAAUUUUUCUCAAUGGGGGAAACCCUGAAGGAGCGACGCCGCGUGGAGGAUGAAGGUCUUCGGGUUGUAAACUCCUGUCAUUUGGGAACAAGUUGGACGCCGUAACUGCGCGUCCAUUGAUAGUACCAGAAGAGGAAGGGACGGCUAACUCUGUGCCAGCAGCCGCGGUAAUACAGAGGUCUCAAGCGUUGUUCGGAUUCAUUGGGCGUAAAGGGUGUGUAGGUGGCGCGCUAAGUCGGGUGUGAAAUUUCGGAGCUUAACUCCGAAACUGCAUUCGAUACUGGCGUGCUUGAGGACUGGAGAGGAGACUGGAAUUCAUGGUGUAGCAGUGAAAUGCGUAGAGAUCAUGAGGAAGACCAGUGGCGAAGGCGGGUCUCUGGACAGUUCCUGACACUGAGACACGAAGGCCAGGGGAGCAA
rnacentral:rRNA from 1 species